rnacentral:ncRNA from 1 species
GCAGAGUAGGAAAAUGUGUGUUUAAGUGCCGACGGGACGGGGAGUUGUCCGCCGGACGAAUGGUGACCGGUUCACCUGCAGUGCGUUUUCCGCAUCCCGCUGC